UGCUGGGCAUAUAAAAUGUUAAAUGCUACUGGAUCAGCCUGGCAGUAUGGUAUGCUCCUUUAAGAGGACUGAAAGGAGGAGGAUGCUGGACAAUAAACACCUGCAAAUUUGUCAGGGAGGUGACACCAACCAGGAAAAGGCCAGGCUUUCAGAUGUACUGGUAGAGUGUUGUGCACACGCAAAUCACAGAAAAAAUGCUGGUAAGACUUAAGCCUCAGCAUAUGUGGUGUGGCAUGAUUAUAACCUGCCAAAUUCACAGGGAGGGCUUGCAUUCUAUUCCUGGCUACUGCAAAUAACCCUUGAAAUUGAGCAAGAAUGAGGCUAUACACUAUGUACUUAUCUCUUUUUUAACCUAGUUUACUUUCACAUUGUGGUUUUCAGCUUAACAGAAAAUUGCCACUAGCACUUCUGACCUCUGCAGAUUUUCCAUUUCCCUCAAGUGAGCAAACUAGCAGGCCAAGUCUAUAAAUAGAAAACGUUACACAAUUUAUUAAGACUGGAAUAAGUACCAUCAGGAGCUGCUAUAGGGAUAGAUUCUAAUAUAUAUAUAUUUAUUUCUACCACUAGAGGCCUGUAAUGUGCUGCAUAUUUUGCAAAAUUCACAUUAUCUGUUAGUGACACAACAGUACUAUGAGUACAAAUCUCCAUAAUGUUUUUAAAGAAGUUUCUAUAUAUUUAAUUUCAGCUUCUAAAGACAACUCUCUGCCAAUGACAGAACAAGUUCAAAUAAGCAAUUAUUCAGUGAUUUAAUACGAUCAUAAGAGAGGACCCUUACUGAUCGGAUACUAUUAUGCAUGUGAGCAACCUCAUCCUCAGCUCUCUUUAGAACUCAUGGACUGAUCCUUUGCGUAAUAUUGCUCAGAUUGGGAUUUACUGAACAGACACCCAGGCAGCUAGUUUCAAGUUAGGAGUAAAUAGACAUUUAGGAAUAAAUCUUCACAUCUAGUUUGUAUGUGCAUUUGAUUUGAAGAUAGAUCACAUCUGACAACUUCUCUGUUAUUGGUAGUCUGAAAAAAAGUACCUCACCUAUGCAUGAAUGCUAUACUUAAUGCUAUUAGAGAAACAUUCUUUUAUUCUAAAACAGUCAUGAAAUGGAUAGUAAAAAAAAAAUUAAAAAAAAA
rnacentral:lncRNA from 1 species